CCAGACUCCUACGGGAGGCAGCAGUGGGGAAUAUUGCACAAUGGGGGGAACCCUGAUGCAGCGACGCCGCGUGAGGGAAGAAGGUUUUCGGAUUGUAAACCUCUGUCCUCUGUGACGAUAAUGACGGUAGCAGAGGAGGAAGCCACGGCUAACUACGUGCCAGCAGCCGCGGUAAUACGUAGGUGGCAAGCGUUGUCCGGAUUUACUGGGUGUAAAGGGCGUGUAGCCGGGAAGGCAAGUCAGAUGUGAAAUCCGGAGGCUCAACCUCCGAAUUGCAUUUGAAACUGUUUUUCUUGAGUACUGGAGAGGCAGACGGAAUUCCUUGCGUAGCGGUGAAAUGCGUAGAUAUAAGGAGGAACACCAUUGGCGAAGGCGGUCUGCUGGACAGCAACUGACGGUGAGGCGCGAAAGCGUGGGGAGCAAACAGGAUUAGAUACCCGUGUAACU
rnacentral:rRNA from 1 species